CCUACGUGUGGCAGCAGUGGGGACUCUUGGGCAAUGGGCGCAAGCCUGACCCAGCAACGCCGCGUGAAGGAAGAAGGCUUUCGGGUUGUAAACUUCUUUUGACCGGGAAGAGUAGAAGACGGUACCUGUCGAAUACGCCACGUCUAACUCCGUGCCAGCAGGCGCGGUAAUAUGUAGGUGGCAGGCGGUGUCCGUAUUUACUGGGUGUAAAGGGCGUGUAGCCGGGUUGACAAGUCAGAGGGGAAAUCCUGCGUCUUAACGGGAGAACUGCAUUUGAAAGUGUUGAUCUUGAGUACUGGAGAGGCAGACGGAAUUCCUGGUGUAGCGGUGAAAUGCGUAGAUAUUAGGAGGAACACCAGUGGCAAAGGCGGUCUGCUGGACAGCAACUGACGGUGAGGCGCGAAAGCGUGGGAGCAAACAGGAUUAGAUACCCUUGUAGUC
rnacentral:rRNA from 1 species